GGAAUGUCUGCUCAGUGAAGUCAUACUUUAUAGGGGUGCUCACCCCCUUACUCACACGCCCUGAAUGACUUGCAGGGCCCCAGCCCCCACGCCUGUCCCAGUGGCUGCUGUGAAGAAACGCACGUCAUUGGGGGAAGUCCAGAAGAUGAUCUCCAAGCACCUCCUGCCACCCCAGCCUCCUGAAGGCCUCAGUUCCCCAUCACGGAGCUCCCUUGGGGCUUCGGGGGCAAUUUUUGGAUCUUUAGUAAAGGAAGGGCCUCUGAGGGGCUGGGUUUUCCUUGGGGCUGCCCUGGUGUCGUGGCGUUGUGGGGUGGGGAAUUUGGCAACACCACGGGCUCAGUAUGGCUGAAACUCCCCGGACGGCUUAGCUGCCUAAGGAUGAGCCUCUCUGCUGCCCCACCAGGCCUGGGCCUCUGUGAGGACAGAAAUCGGGACAUCGUCUGUGCCAUUGGGAUGAGUGGUCUGGGGUGCCAGAGCUCUGACAGCAGUGAACCCAGGGCCGGGGGCAUGAAAACCGAGGCACCAUGUUAGCACAGCAGGCACUACACUAGGCUGCUCAAAGUGAUUCUUGAAUUCUGUCUUUUUGGAAAAGUAGGUGUUAGCUGGGCAAAGAAGGAGCUGAGGGGGACUGCGUGGUCAGAGGCCCAGAGGGGUCUGGCUGACCACCAAGGCCCAGCUGGGAACCGGCCCUGCGAC
rnacentral:lncRNA from 1 species